UUGGCUUCAAGAAAGCUUUCCUCAUUCAAUUCUUGUGUUCUACUUGCUGUCUGAAUCGUCUUUCCUCCUUUCUCUAUUAUUUUCUUUUGUUUUUCCCUUGUUUAAGCCGAAUCAAUUUGUUAACUCACUUCUUGAAUUUUUGGCAGUUUAUCCUCUUCAAGAUGUAUUCAAGAACGUAUCUCCCACUCAAGAUCCAUUCUUCCUACUCUCUAAAUUCAUUGUAUCCUUGUUCUUUGUUCUUGAAUUUUCAUUUUUUAGUUGCUACCGGAUUCUCCUAAUUUCCUUUUGGCUUCUUCUUGCAUUUUAGGUUACUUGGUCGCCAAGAAAAGGGUUUUCUCAUUUCAAUUUAGUUUCCCCCUUUAUUCAACAACUUGAAUUUCAAUCUUACUCCAUUACCCCAUCAAUAUAUUUCAAUAAUAUCCAAGAGACAUCAUUGUUUGCAACAAUGUUGUAAAAAUCGGAUUAGAAGUUGAACUAAUUAGACCACUUAUUUUUGGUUUAAUAUUUUCAAUUAUUUGAACCAUUGGUAAAACAAUAUUUAAAUGAAUAAUUAAAUAGUUCACAAUAAUUAAUUUUAAAAAAUAAAAAUUCAUAAACUAGUUGAAGUAUUGAUUUUUGUCUUGAUUUUUUUUAAAUUUUUU
rnacentral:lncRNA from 1 species